rnacentral:rRNA from 1 species
UGCGUAGGCGGUUCUGAAAGUCAGCUGUGAAAGCCCCGGGCUUAACCUGGGAACUGCGGUUGAAACUACAGGACUUGAAUCUGGCAGAGGGGGGUGGAAUUCCACGUGUAGCAGUGAAAUGCGUAGAGAUGUGGAGGAACACCGAUGGCGAAGGCAGCCCCCUGGGCUGAGAUUGACGCUCAGGCACGAAAGCGUGGGGAGCAAACA